UCCUCGCACGGCUUUCUCGCACCGCUGCACAGCGCAUCCCGCUGCAUUCACGCCCCGCGAUCCCUCCUCCCCGCUUCACUGUCACUUCCUGCGUUGCGGAGCCGAUGCCGGCUCCUGCAGGGUGCGAAGUCCACGCGUCCCGGGCGGCGGCGGUGGGGCUACUGCUGCUGCCGGGCUGAGAGAGGCUGGCGCCGGGACAGGGAGCAGCCCCAGCCAUGGCGAGCCGCCCGCUCUUCCGUGCGCUCAUCAUGGGCCCUCCCGGCUCUGGAAAGGGAACCGUGUCGGAGCGCAUCGCCAAGAGCUUCGGUCUGAAGCAGCUCUCCAGCGGGGAGGUGCUGCGCGCCAAUAUCCGCGACCACACAGAGGUUGGAUCGCUCGCCAAGUCGUUUAUUGACAAAGGGAAACUGGUGCCCGAUAAUGUAAUCACUCGGCUAGUACUGCAAGAACUAAAGAAUAUAGAUCAGUACAGCUGGCUGCUGGAUGGGUUCCCCAGAACUGUCCCGCAGGCAGAAGAACUGCACAAAAUUUACCAGCUGGACACCGUCAUUAAAUUGAAGGUUCCCUUUGAGACCAUCAAAGAGCGCCUGACAUCCCGCUGGAUCCACCCUGGCAGCGGGAGGGUUUACAACACGAACUUCAAUCCGCCCACAGUGGCAGGGAUUGAUGAUCUCACAGGAGAACCUCUGGUUCAGCGUGACGACGACAAGCCAGAGACGGUGACAUUAAGACUCCAGGCCUAUGAAGAAUUAACCCAGCCGGUUCUGGAAUACUAUCGGAGUAGAGGUGUUUUAGAGGUCUUCUCGGGAACAGAAACCGACAAGAUCUGGCCUCAUGUCCAUGCCUUCCUCAGUAAGAAGCUGCCAGUGCUGUGUUAACCGGAGCAACGGCAAGAGGACAGAAAGCAAGCUCUCUAAAAUGACUUUGGUGCUGAUUGCAUAACUAAUAGAAGGGGAAAUGUUGUGAAAAUUAUCUUUUGAUAUUUUAAACAGAAAUGAUAUAGAUUUUUCAAUGUAUUUUUAGCAGAAAUUUUAAGGAAACAUUUUAAAAGUAUUGUUCGUAGCUAAUUAAACAACAAAAGUUAGUGUUGAGAACUAAAACACAAAUCCCUGUUUUGUUUACAAGGUUGACAACGUGUUGUACUAGUAUUAAUUAUUUCACACGGACCAAUAAUUUGUGGAACAAUUUGUGUGAUGUCCAGUUGAAUGAGGACCCUAUCAUGGGCUACUACAAAAGAUAGGAUGAGGCAGUUUUUCCAAACGGACGAGGAUAGAACUGGUUAUAUGUGGUUUUAAAAAAGGCCAAGUGCUGGUGUAACAAAGCAGGUCAGGCAGCAAGUCUGGAAAACAUGGAUUGGUGACGUUGCGGAUUGGGGCUCUUCUUCAGUCUGAACAAGGGUCCCAACACGAAAUGUCAGCUGCCUAUGUUCUCCAGCGAUGCUGCCAGACCCGCUGAGGUACUCCAGCACUUUGUGUGUUUUUCUUUCCACGCCAGCAUCUGCAAUCCCCCGUGCCUCCGAGGCCAUACGCGGUGUUGCUCAGGAACUGCACGUUGGCCGGCUGGUUGACACCAAGCUGAGUCCUUCAGUCACCGACCAACGUUUCCUGUCACUGACACAGUAUGUGCAGAGGAAGAUGUACGAUGACCGAUUGCAGGUCUUUUUGAAGUGUCCCCAGUCAUGUUGGUUAGUAUGGCUUCCUGGAGUAAGUGAAGACUGGAGAAGUGGAAGCCCUUCUCUGAAACAUUGUCACUGGCCUUAAUGGGAAGGGAAACUAGUUCACGAAUCUGUUUGCAGUUUUUGAAGCAAAGAAUGUCGUCAGGUGCUUAAAUAUAAUUUAUGGCACCCACACCCAUGGUUGGGCAGUAAAACACAGUAUGAAAAUCAGAAAAGUUAGACAAGGGUUCGUGACCUUUGGUCUGAACUGGGGGGGGGGGGGGGUGGGUGGGAGGAGAUACAACAGGUUUUAAGGAUGUGCAGAUGCAGGGAAAAGAUAAAGAAACAAACUAAAUGCUG